CCCAGCGGCCCCUCGGCGGGAUAAUGGGCCCCCGCCGCCAACCGCCACUUACGCUCCAGUCCUCGUACCUGCAGUCGGACCGCUGAAGUGCUGCUCAGCAGAUGAGCCUUUGCGUGAUUCUUCUUUUUCACUUGGUCCUCCUCAAACGUUCUCCCUCAGCGUCCCACGGUCGAGCUAUUUGAGGAGGAGAUGCGUUCGCCUUGCCGGCGUCCUUCGACCGCUGACACAUUCGCUCGCCGUGAAAGGCGCUCUCCGCCUGCAGCACCUGCUCCACCUGCUCCACCUGCCCCCAGUCAAGAGAAAUAUCAGCUCCUCUGAGAGGCGGCGGGAGGCUUCCAUCGUCUCCGAGGCGCCGGCGACCCCGGGCCCGCCCCCUGACAGCACAGGCGGCGUCUGUUUGCGGGAGCUCUGACCCACGACCUGCAGAUUGCAGCUUUCUGGGAGCGAUGAUUUGCCGAUGGAGACGCGCUUUGACACCCCUCCCCCCGUCAGCCGGGAGGACAGACAGCCGCUGACAGACGGGGUCGACCCCGGCCGCUGAGAUGAUGCAGUCCUGGAGAGAUAAUUGGGGAGCAGGCGGGUCACGUUUGAUGGAAACACACUUUGCAAAUUUAUCUUGGGGCAGCAGCAGCGGAACGCCGUGUUUAGAGCUCUCUUUACUCGCUCGGCUGCGGCGGCUCUCAGCCGAGGCAGAACAAAUCCCCCCCGCUUUGAUCG
ensembl:lncRNA